rnacentral:rRNA from 1 species
GUAGUCUGCAACUCGACUACAUGAAGCUGGAAUCGCUAGUAAUCGCGAAUCAGAAUGUCGCGGUGAAUACGUUCCCGGGUCUUGUACACACCGCCCGUCACACCAUGGGAGUCGGAAAUGCCCGAAGUCAGUGACCCAACCGCAAGGAGGGAGCUGCCGAAGGCAGGUCCGGUAACUGGGGUGAAGUCGUAACAAGGUAAC